GACGAACGCUGGCGGCGUGCUUAACACAUGCAAGUCGAACGAAGAGCGAUGGACGUUUGCUUCUAUCAAUCUUAGUGGCGGACGGGUGAGUAAAGCGUAAUCAACCUGCCCUUCAGAGGGGGACAACAGUUGGAAACGACUGCUAAUACCGCAUACGAUCUGACCUCGGCAUCGAGGGUAGAUGAAAGGUGGUCUCUACAUGUAAGCUAUCACUGACGGCGGGGCUUGCGUCUGGUUAGCUAGUUGGAGGGGUAACGGCCCACCAAGGCGAGGAUCAGUAGCCGGUCUGAGAGGAUGAACGGCCACAUUGGGACUGAGACACGGCCCAGACUCCUACGGGAGGCAGCAGUGGGGAAUCUUCCGCAAUGGACGAGAGUCUGACGGAUCAACGCCGCGUGAGUGAUGGCGGCCGUCGGGUUGGAAAGCUCUGUUUAUCGGGACGAAAGGCCUUUUUGCUAAUAGUGAGGAGGAUUGACGGUACCGGAAGAGAAAGCCACGGCUAACUACGUG
rnacentral:rRNA from 1 species